GAAGACAGCUACCGAAUCGGCUACGUGUGCUGCCCCUGCGUAAACGCCUUCUGGUACAUGAAGGCUGUUGAGCGCCUGCCCGAUCCAUGCAUCAACAGGAUCUGCGCCUUCUUCUGGAUUGGCAUUUGUCAACCAUGCGCAGUGUACGUCGCCGCCGCCGAGGACGGAAUCGACCCCGCCAAGGAGUUCGGAGCAUGGUGGAGCUUAGUUAAGAAGGUCGUUUGUAUAGACCGGAGUUAGUUUGACAUCAAUCAAACUCCUCUCGAUCUUCGCAGAAACGCGAAAACAAAGCACCAGCCAACCAACCAAUCAUCAAAUGACUGACAAAAUUUUUUAAUCAACUCGGAGCUUAAUGUACAAUUAUAAGAUCAUUUCGGCAAUAAGAGAUUAUAGUUGAGGCCAAUUUAAAUUACUCCAUUUCUGUAGAAUCUUUGUUUUGACGAUAUUUGAAAAAAAAAUAAUGGAAAAAUUC